rnacentral:rRNA from 1 species
AUUGAACGCUGGCGGAAUGCUUUACACAUGCAAGUCGAACGGCAGCAUAGGUGCUUGCACCUGAUGGCGAGUGGCGAACGGGUGAGUAAUACGUCGGAACGUGCCCAGUCGUGGGGGAUAACGUAGCGAAAGUUACGCUAAUACCGCAUACGAUCUAAGGAUGAAAGCGGGGGACCGUAAGGCCUUGCGCGAUUGGAGCGGCCGAUGUCAGAUUAGGUAGUUGGUGAGGUAAAGGCUCACCAAGCCGACGAUCUGUAGCUGGUCUGAGAGGACGACCAGCCACACUGGGACUGAGACACGGCCCAGACUCCUACAGGAGGCAGCAGUGGGGAAUUUUGGACAAUGGACGCAAGUCUGAUCCAGCCAUUCCGCGUGCAGGACGAAGGCCUUCGGGUUGUAAACUGCUUUUGUACGGAACGAAAAAGCUCUUACUAAUACUAGGAGUCCAUGACGGUACCGUAAGAAUAAGCACCGGCUAACUACGUGCCAGCAGCCGCGGUAA